GACAUCAGGAGGUUAGUGCAAUGGCAUAAGCCAGCUUGACUGCGAGCGUGACGGCGCGAGCAGGUGCGAAAGCAGGUCAUAGUGAUCCGGUGGUUCUGAAUGGAAGGGCCAUCGCUCAACGGAUAAAAGGUACUCCGGGGAUAACAGGCUGAUACCGCCCAAGAGUUCAUAUCGACGGCGGUGUUUGGCACCUCGAUGUCGGCUCAUCACAUCCUGGGGCUGAAGUAGGUCCCAAGGGUAUGGCUGUUCGCCAUUUAAAGUGGUACGCGAGCUGGGUUUAGAACGUCGUG
rnacentral:rRNA from 3 species